AGUAUCGUCGGCAAAUUGAAUAUGUAAAUUCUGAUCAUGAGAGGCAUGAUAGUUAUUUUGUUCCACCGUUGAUGUUCAAGCAUGUUAAGUCAGAAUGUCUGCCCCAAAGAGAUUUUGUUGCAAUUAUACCAGCUGGAUGCAAAUUACCAUCAUGUUGUACAAGUAAAGAAUAUCAUCUUUUGGAUGAGUACAGACGAGAAUGUGAGAUAAAAGUGGACAUACCUCUAUAUCUCCGUGAAAGUGAAUGGUUUGGAAUUGUAGUAUGCCUCCAUGUCUCAGGUGAGAGUGGUGUGAUUUGGUGGGGUAGUAAGGCUGCUGCAGGAGAUGAUUAUAUAUGCAAAGAGUGGGCACAUGAUAUUGAUAUUUGGGAAUCUUAUAAGACUCCUUCUCAUCUGUGCAUAUUAAUGGUAUUGGAAUUAAAUGAGAAAACAUGUUGGCAACAUCUGACACCUCAUAACAAUUCCCUUCACAUUUUACUUUCUACUUUUCAAAGUUCUAACAUUGAAAUAUUGGGAUGUGGGUGGAGAGUGAUAUGUAAAGAAGAGAUGCAAGUGAAUGUCACCCGACCCCACUACUUCCUACUCCUCAUCAGGUCAAGCUUUCACCAACACUUCUUCAUCAAGUAGUUGCAAAAGUUUGGGGAGAAGAGAGAAAAGAGGUACCCAAUCUGCACAAGUGAUGAAAAAGAACAAAUUUCUCAAGAGAAGGUGAUAAAAUGAUGAUGUGGUUUUUCAUAUAUAGCAUUAUGUAUUCAGUUAUCAAGUAGAAUUAACUCAAAUGAUAUGAGUAGCUUUCUGACUGAGAAGAAUGAACAAGACAAAA